GUUCACGUCCAUGCCACCCUGAACAAGCCCAAUGUCUGAUCUCAGAAGCUUAGCAGGGUCGGGCCUGGUUAGUACUUAGAUGGGAGACCACCUAGGAAGACCAGAUACUGUAGAUU
rnacentral:rRNA from 1 species